AGUGAACGCUGGCGGUAGGCCUAACACAUGCAAGUCGAACGGCAGCACAGUAAGAGCUUGCUCUUGCGGGUGGCGAGUGGCGGACGGGUGAGGAAUACAUCGGAAUCUACUUUUUCGUGGGGGAUAACGUAGGGAAACUUACGCUAAUACCGCAUACGACCUACGGGUGAAAGCAGGGGAUCUUCGGACCUUGCGCGAUUGAAUGAGCCGAUGUCGGAUUAGCUAGUUGGCGGGGUAAAGGCCCACCAAGGCGACGAUCCGUAGCUGGUCUGAGAGGAUGAUCAGCCACACUGGAACUGAGACACGGUCCAGACUCCUACGGGAGGCAGCAGUGGGGAAUAUUGGACAAUGGGCGCAAGCCUGAUCCAGCCAUACCGCGUGGGCGAAGAAGGCCUUCGGGUUGUAAAGCCCUUUUGUUGGGAAAGAAAAGCAGCAGGUUAAUACCCCGCUGUUCUGACGGUACCCAAAGAAUAAGCACCGGCUAACUUCG
rnacentral:rRNA from 1 species